rnacentral:piRNA from 1 species
UGGAAAUGCUCGUUGGCCUAACUUCAUAGAGU